rnacentral:tRNA from 2 species
GCCGCUAUAGCUCAGUGGUAGAGCAUCAGUUUUGUAAACUGAGGGUCGGGAGUUCAAAUCUCUCUAGCGGCU